rnacentral:rRNA from 1 species
GACGAACCGUGCGAACGUUGUUCGGAAUCACUGGGCUUAAAGGGCGCGUAGGCGGCGCAUCAAGUCAGGCGUGAAAGCCCUGGGCUCAACCCGGGAAUUGCGCUUUGAGACUGGUGUGCUUGAGUACGGGAGAGGAUAGUGGAAUUCCCAGUGUAGAGGUGAAAUUCGUAGAUAUUGGGAAGAACACCAGUGGCGAAGGCGGCUCACUGGUCCGAUACUGACGCUGAGGUGCGAAAGCGUGGGGAGCAAACAGG